ACGAACGCUGGCGGCGUGCUUAACACAUGCAAGUCGAACGGAAAGGCCCUGCUUUUGUGGGGUGCUCGAGUGGCGAACGGGUGAGUAACACGUGAGUAACCUGCCCUUGACUUUGGGAUAACUUCAGGAAACUGGGGCUAAUACCGGAUAGGAGCUCCUGCUGCAUGGUGGGGGUUGGAAAGUUUAGGCGGUUGGGGAUGGACUCGCGGCUUAUCAGCUUGUUGGUGGGGUAGUGGCUUACCAAGGCUUUGACGGGUAGCCGGCCUGAGAGGGUGACCGGCCACAUGGGGACUGAGAGACGGCCCAGACGCCUACAGGAGGCAGCAGUGGGGAAUAUUGCACAGUGGGCGGAAGCCUAAUGCAGAAACGCCGCGUGCGGGAUGACGGCCUUGGGGUUGUAAACCGAUUUCGCCUGUGACGAAGCGUGAGUGACGGUAAUGGGUAAAGAAGCACCGGCUAACUACGUG
rnacentral:rRNA from 1 species